rnacentral:rRNA from 1 species
UACAGAGGAUGCAAGCGUUAUCCGGAAUUACUGGGCGUAAAGCGUCUGCAGGUGGACUUUUAAGUCCUUUGUGAAAGCCUGAGGCCUAACCUCAGUUUAGCAAAGGAAACUAAAAGUCUUGAGGAUGGUAGAGGUAGAGGGAAUUUCCAGUGGAGCGGUGAAAUGCGUAGAGAUUGGAAAGAACACCAAUGGCGAAAGCACUCUACUGGGCCAUUACUGACACUCAGAGACGAAAGCUAGGGGAGCAAAUGGG